rnacentral:tRNA from 1 species
GUUGGAAUAGCUCAGUUGGUUAGAGCGUGUGGCUGUUAACCACAAGUUUGAGAUUCAAGCCCUCCUUCUAGCG